GACGAACGCUGGCGGCGUGCUUAACACAUGCAAGUCGAACGAGUGGCGAACGGGUGAGUAAUACGUGGGUAACCUGCCCUCUUUUUGGGAUAAGCCUUGGAAAAGGGGUUUAAUACCGCAUAAAGGGGGAUGGGCUCGCGGCCUAUCGGCUUGUUGGUGGGGUGAUGGCCUACCAAGGCGGUGACGGGUAGCCGGCCUGAGAGGGUGACCAGCCACAUUGGGACUGGGAUACGGCCCAGACUCCUACGGGAGGCAGCAGUGGGGGAUAUUGCACAAUGGGCGAAAGCCUGAGGCAGCGACGCCGCGUUGGGGAUGAAGGCUUUCGGGUUGUAAACCUCUUUCUCUAUCUAACGUGUAGGUGGAGAAGAAGCGCCGUCUAACUACGUGACAGCAGCCGCGGUUUC
rnacentral:rRNA from 1 species